rnacentral:rRNA from 1 species
GACGGUCUUGCUGUCACUUAUAGAUGGAUCCGCGCUGCAUUAGCUAGUUGGUAAGGUAACGGCUUACCAAGGCAACGAUGCAUAGCCGACCUGAGAGGGUGAUCGGCCACACUGGAACUGAGACACGGUCCAGACUCCUACGGGAGGCAGCAGUAGGGAAUCUUCCGCAAUGGGCGAAAGCCUGACGGAGCAACGCCGCGUGAGUGAUGAAGGUCUUCGGAUCGUAAAACUCUGUUAUUAGGGAAGAACAUAUGUGUAAGUAACUGUGCACAUCUUGACGGUACCUAAUCAGAAAGCCACGGCUAACUACGUGCCAGCAGCCGCGGUAAUACGUAGGUGGCAAGCGUUAUCCGGAAUUAUUGGGCGUAAAGCGCGCGUAGGCGGUUUUUUAAGUCUGAUGUGAAAGCCCACGGCUCAACCGUGGAGGGUCAUUGGAAACUGGAAAACUUGAGUGCAGAAGAGGAAAGUGGAAUUCCAUGUGUAGCGGUGAAAUGCGCAGAGAUAUGGAGGAACACCAGUGGC